UAUCCUGCGGGGGGCAGCAGUGGGGAAUAUUGCACAAUGGGGGAAACCCUGAUGCAGCAACGCCGCGUGAAUGAAGAAGUAUUUCGGUAUGUAAAGCUCUAUCAGCAGGGAAGAAGAAAGACGGUACCUGACUAAGAAGCCCCGGCUAACUACGUGCCAGCAGCCGCGGUAAUACGUAGGGGGCAAGCGUUAUCCGGAUUUACUGGGUGUAAAGGGAGCGUAGACGGCGAUGCAAGUCUGAAGUGAAAGGCGGUGGCCCAACCCCCGGACUGCUUUGGAAACUGUAUGGCUGGAGUGCAGGAGAG
rnacentral:rRNA from 1 species